rnacentral:tRNA from 1 species
GCGAGCGUCGCAGGCUGCAGUGGUUUCGAGAGCACUGCCUUCUCAUGGCUGAACGUCAAGAACGAGCGUUCACCGUGGUAGGAGCCCUGCCCGCUCGCA